rnacentral:sRNA from 1 species
CUGUGAACUUGAAGUCAAAGCGAAUCCAAUUGUCACGCGAGCAGCAGCAAAAGAUCGCGAGCGAGGCCCCAGCAGCUGAUCGCUGAGUGUGGGUGAGAGAGAGAGGGAAAGUCGCUCAGGAUCUGCGGAAGAACUCGGGAAAAAUCACUGCGUCGCGUAAAAUGCGUUAAACUGUAUACAAAACUGCCUAAUGAACCAAACCAAAGGAACAAUAUUGACAUCUAACAAUAAAUUGUGAUACAUCACAUGUGAACUCCGCUGGCGAUUGGGCUUGCCUCCUUUCCCAAAAAAUCUGCGUUCAUAGAAGGCUCAACUAUUUAUAGUACAAACACAAUACCCACACAGAACCCAACUUACUAGGCCCCAAUCACACUCAUAAAACAUGGACUUCGAUCAGAUUCUGGCCAAAUGUGGCGACUUCAAUCGCUACCAGUUCAUGAUACUCGCCCUCUUCGGGUUCAUCAAUAUCAUCGUAUCGAUGCAUUACUUUA